CAAUGUAUAGCUGUAGCAACUGUUUUCUGUUACUAAAUAGGCGUUUUUUAAGCUGUUCAGUUUGCCCUUGAAAUAUGUCAAAUGACUCAUUUCAGGUUUACCUAGAGAGUAUUGUCUUUGUGUAACUCCAUCCUCUUAUCCCAGAAACAAUCAUUCUUGCAUGUCAUGGUUACCUCAUUUAGUGCCCUUUGAGAGCUUUUGCAGGUGGGCAAUAUUUCACAUGCAGUUUGGUUUGUAUGCUGUAAACAUCACUGAACAAAAACAAAACCAUCAGAAAAAUAACACUGGAAAGAUUGGAAGCUGCUAAGGGUAGAAUCAUUCUCAGUUAUGGGGUGGUCUAAAGGUUUGCUUUCUUGGAAUCCCAAAGGGAAGCUGUUUUAUGAGUGACAUAAGGAGAGCACACACAGGAAUGAGCUGAGGCAGAGUUACAGGUUAAAAGAAAGAGUUGCCCUCCCAGAGACAAGUUAGACUACCCUCUAAAGAGUGCUGUCAAACCAAUACUGUGCCAGGCCACAGGAGAGACAUCCUGAUGAAUGCUGGAACUUGGGAAGUGAAGGCAUGAGAAUUUGAACAGAAGAGACACCCUACUACCUGUACUUCCUACACAAGACCCAGUGACCACAGGCUCCCAAAGUGCGUGCUCCAAGAUGGCCAACUAGAUGCAGCCAGGAGGAACAUCACCCAUUGAAGGACCAGGACUUUAGGAAAACUGGUGCACUCCUAGCAGAUCUUCAGACGGAAGGAAUUGAGAGCAGACGAAGGAAGACGCAGAAGCUGGGCUGAAGCGGGAGGAACCCAGUAAUCCUGCAAGGGACUACUGCUCCGUGGGACUUGUUUCUGGCCCCCAACAACUCCUGUGGAGAGAAUGAGUUGAACAGAGAGGAACCCACUCCACCACAAGCCUCUGGAAUCCCAGCAGGAGAAGACCUCAACCAUGAUGGACACUUGAGUUG
rnacentral:lncRNA from 10 species